GACUCCGGAGUAACACGGACGUUGCAAAUUAGUAGCUGACACUCUCUCAACUUCUCAAUUUAGCCUUGAAUCCCUCUCAACCCUGACACAUUCUGUGUCAUCCAAGAGAUAAGCUCAUCAAUCUCUUCUUUCAAUUUUAGUUUUCACAGCAUUUGGGUUUGAUUUUCUUCUUUUUGUUUGGUGAUUGUCUGAUCGUGUACAAAAUUGCUCAACCAUCGACUGCGUUCUUCAACUUACUAGUUCUGUGUUUAGAUUGAAAGCUCCAUGUUUUCUGGGAUUUUUAAACACGAGUUAACCACAAUUCUCUCCUGUAACCGGGAACCGGAUAUGGGUCUUAAGCCUGAGAAUUUCUCAUUUGUGAUGUGCCUUUUUAAUAAAUUUCUUAGCAUAAUUAUUGUAGGAACAAGUUCCACUAUGGUCUGGCAUAUUUUCUUUUGUUAUGAUCAAUGGUGGUUCAUUUCACAAGGACAGAGCUUAAUGGUGGCCUUUAGUUUGUCAUGUUUUUCUGAGUAAUUUACGUUGUUGGUGCUAAGUUUUCGAUUUGUUAAUCUGAUCCCUGUAUUUAAUUCCGGUAAAACUACUGGGGGAAUUGCUAAUUUCUAGUUUGCUACUUUAUUUGCAGAGGUCUAAUAUGAGCUACUUUGUAGUCAUGGUCACCGAAGAGCCUAAAGACCCGUUGAGACGGGUGAACUGGAAAGGUGUUGGUAGUGAUAUGCAGAAGAGGCCCUAUGGUAAACCAGGCAUAAUGAAACGGCUUCCCAGAAAGAUUAGUCUGAAUCCAGAUUGCUAUUUUCUUCCUCUGAAGUUACUACCCUACAACAUUGCAUCCUUAGAAGCAUGUAAUGCUGUUGGAUAUAUGUAAUCAACAAAAUUAGAGAGUAUGGAGGCAUAAUAUGGAUUUUGACAAAUAAAGCUUGGAGGAGUUUGUAAAGAUGGCAUUAUUAAUAUCCCCUCAUCUCUGGCCCCCUUUCUCCAGCAGAAGUUUCUUCAUGAGACUGACACAGAGAUUUCUGUUCAUUCUCCAUUCUCCCCUUCAGUUGAUACGGAGGAUGCCUAAUUUCCUCAAUCCAACCCUCAAAAUGUUUCUUUGUGCAACCAUCAAGCAGUACGUUAUGCAAGCAGUACGCCUGGGCCUCGGCCCCUCUAUUCAACCAAAGAAAAUGUGAAAAGUAUAUCUAGCACAUUUUGGCUUAAACUAACAAGAAGGUAUCUUGUUAUUUGAGUAGAAAAUUCAUGUGUACUAUCUGAAAUUUAGAGGAAAAACCUUACGAUUUGCUGCAGAGGGGUCAGGUGACUGGAAAUUGUUGCUUACGGUUAGUCACUUGAACUCGGUUACUGAGGAAAAAAGUGGUUUAAUUAUGAUUUUUUAUGUAAUGAAAUCAUAGUCAUAAAGGCCAAUUCACAGUUAAAAGUCUUAUAAGGUGGCCUUCUAAACACUUCUGGAUCAGAUGUAAGACUCACAUGGAUUGAGGGGAAGCACACACUUGGAAGGGUGUUCAGCAUGCAUGUAUACCAGGUAAUGCUCCGGUUCAUCUGUAGAAGAUUGUUCACAACAUAUUACCUGCGAUUGAUCGUCUUUUAUCAAGGCAUGUCCGGAUAGAAGAUGCUACUUGCGUGUUUUGUGCUAGUGCAAUGAUCAACAGACCACUAAAGUUGACGAUGUCCUUUCACGACAACAGUCCUGGAAUCCGAUGAAGAGUUGCGUACCAUUUGGUUUACACCAGCACUGAUCGACUUAAUCCUUCAUGAGUGGUUAUGUCAUUGAAAAGUUAUGCAUCUUCCCAAGCUUGGAAUACUCUUUUUUGCUCUUUACAGAGUGUUU